GCAAUUUCAUUAUUUAGCUCAGCUACCCCAGAAUUUAAUCAUCAAAGUUUGUUCUAACGCUUCAUAAAAAAUCUAUGAAUCUCAUCUUUAAAGUUUCAGGUCCAACACUUGGGAAGUACAAUUCACAUCUAAGUAAAUAGGUUGUCUGUUUUGUAGAAAUCUGUGUACUGUUUGAGAAUAUAAAGAAAGUAACUAACUUUAUUUUGUUGUUUUUGUUUCAUCUAAAUGGAGAAAGGCACAUCUGAAACAAACUAUAUGCUAUUAAAAAACCUUUACAUAGAAACUAGUUUCAACAUAUUCCUGUGUCCUUUACUUGACGAAAAAUUAGUCAAUAUAACUUAACUCAGAAUUCUAUUGUUGCUGAUUUAAAAGAUAAUAAAAUGUAUAAACUACAACAAUAAACCCAAGUAUUUAAACUUAUUUUUAAAAACACUUUAUCAAGAUACACAGUAGUCUGAUGUGCAGUGAAAACAACCUGGAUAACAAACUGAUAGUAAUAGAGCUAUAGUUAUUUAAAACACAAUAAUAAGACUACACCAGCAUUGUAAUAGAUAUCACAUAUCUGAUAGUAAUAGAGCUGUAGUUAUUUGACACUAUAAUAACAAGACUACAUCAGCAGUGUAACAGACGUAACAUCAAGAAUAUAUCAAAUAUCUGAUAGUAAUAGAGCUAUAGUUAUUAGACACUAUAAUAAGAAGACUACACCAGCAUUGUAACAGAUAUCACAUAUCUGAUAGUAAUAGAGCUGUAGUUAUUUGACACUAUAAUAACAAGACUACAUCAGCAGUGUAACAGACGUAACAUCAAGAAUAUAUCAAAUAUCCUAUAGUAAUAGAGCUAUAGUUAUUUGACACAAUAAUAACAAGACUAUAUCAGCAGUGUAACGGAUCUCACAUGAAGAAUAUAUCAACUAUCUGAUAGUAAUAGGACUAUAGUUAUUUG